rnacentral:rRNA from 1 species
UACGGAGGGUGCAAGCGUUGUCCGGAAUCACUGGGCGUAAAGGGCGCGUAGGCGGCUCAUGAAGGCUGUGGUGAAAGUCCGGGGCUCAACCUCGGAUCGGCCGUGGCGACUCGUGGGCUGGAGCACUGUAGAGGCGGGUGGAAUUCCGGGUGUAGCGGUGGAAUGCGUAGAGAUCCGGAAGAACACCAGUGGCGAAGGCGGCCCGCUGGGCAGUGGCUGACGCUGAGGCGCGACAGCGUGGGGAGCAAACAGGAUUAGAA